GACGAACGCUGGCGGCGUGCUUAACACAUGCAAGUCGAGCGGGGUCCAUCUAGUGGCAACACUGGGGAAGACCUAGCGGCGAACGGGUGAGUAACACGUGAGGAACCUGCCCCGAAGACUGGGAUAACCCUCCGAAAGGAGAGCUAAUACCGGAUACCCUCAUUGGAUCGCAUGGUCCGUUGAGGAAAUGUUUUUUCGCUUCGGGAGGGCCUCGCGGCCUAUCAGCUUGUUGGUGAGGAACGGCUCACCAAGGCAUCGACGGGUAGCUAGUCUGAGAGGACGAUUAGCCACACUGGGACUGAGACACGGCCCAGACUCCUACGGGAGGCAGCAGUGGGGAAUCUUGCGCAAUGGG
rnacentral:rRNA from 1 species